rnacentral:rRNA from 1 species
GGGUUGUGAGGUUAAGCGACUAAGCGUACACGGUGGAUGCCCUGGCAGUCAGAGGCGAUGAAGGACGUGCUAAUCUGCGAUAAGCGCCGGUAAGGUGAUAUGAACCGUUAUAACCGGCGAUUUCCGAAUGGGGAAACCCAGUGUGAUUCGUCACACUAUCAUUAACUGAAUCCAUAGGUUAAUGAGGCGAACCGGGGGAACUGAAACAUCUAAGUACCCCGAGGAAAAGAAAUCAACCGAGAUUCCCCCAGUAGCGGCGAGCGAACGGGGAGGAGCCCAGAGCCUGAAUCAGCAUGUGUGUUAGUGGAAGCGUCUGGAAAGGCGCGCGAUACAGGGUGACAGCCCCGUACACAAAAGCGCAUGUGCUGUGAGCUCGAUGAGUAGGGCGGGACACGUGGUAUCCUGUCUGAAUAUGGGGGGACCAUCCUCCAAGGCUAAAUACUCCUGACUGACCGAUAGUGAACCAGUACCGUGAGGGAAAGGCGAAAAGAACCCCGGCGAGGGGAGUGAAAAAGAACCUGAAACCGUGUACGUACAAGCAGUGGGAGCACCCUUCGGGGUGUGACUGCGUACCUUUUGUAUAAUGGGUCAGCGACUUAUAUUCUGUAGCAAGGUUAACCGUAUAGGGGAGCCGGAGGGAAACCGAGUCUUAACCGGGCGUUAAGUUGCAGGGUAUAGACCCGAAACCCGGUGAUCUAGCCAUGGGCAGGUUGAAGGUUGGGUAACACUAACUGGAGGACCGAACCGACUAAUGUUGAAAAAUUAGCGGAUGACCUGUGGCUGGGGGUGAAAGGCCAAUCAAACCGGGAGAUAGCUGGUUCUCCCCGAAAGCUAUUUAGGUAGCGCCUCGUGAAUUCAUCUCCGGGGGUAGAGCACUGUUUCGGCUAGGGGGCCAUCCCGGCUUACCAACCCGAUGCAAACUGCGAAUACCGGAGAAUGUUAUCACGGGAGACACACGGCGGGUGCUAACGUCCGUCGUGAAGAGGGAAACAACCCAGACCGCCAGCUAAGGUCCCAAAGUCAUGGUUAAGUGGGAAACGAUGUGGGAAGGCCCAGACAGCCAGGAUGUUGGCUUAGAAGCAGCCAUCAUUUAAAGAAAGCGUAAUAGCUCACUGGUCGAGUCGGCCUGCGCGGAAGAUGUAACGGGGCUAAACCAUGCACCGAAGCUGCGGCAGCGAACGUAUCACCCAAGACAACUUUACGGAGUUGACGAUUGACGGAGCGAAGCGACGUCAAAGCGUUCAUUAAAGUCGAGUUGGCUUAGGGAUACGUUCGUUGGGUAGGGGAGCGUUCUGUAAGCCUGUGAAGGUGUGUCGUGAGGCAUGCUGGAGGUAUCAGAAGUGCGAAUGCUGACAUAAGUAACGAUAAAGCGGGUGAAAAGCCCGCUCGCCGGAAGACCA